AUUGAACGCUGGCGGCAGGCCUAACACAUGCAAGUCGAGCGGUAGAGAGAAGCUUGCUUCUCUUGAGAGCGGCGGACGGGUGAGUAAUGCCUAGGAAUCUGCCUGGUAGUGGGGGAUAACGUUCGGAAACGGACGCUAAUACCGCAUACGUCCUACGGGAGAAAGCAGGGGACCUUCGGGCCUUGCGCUAUCAGAUGAGCCUAGGUCGGAUUAGCUAGUUGGUGAGGUAAUGGCUCACCAAGGCGACGAUCCGUAACUGGUCUGAGAGGAUGAUCAGUCACACUGGAACUGAGACACGGUCCAGACUCCUACGGAGGCAGCAGUGGGGAAUAUUGGACAAUGGGCGAAAGCCUGAUCCAGCCAUGCCGCGUGUGUGAAGAAGGUCUUCGGAUUGUAAAGCACUUUAAGUUGGGAGGAAGGGCAGUUACCUAAUACGUGAUUGUUUGACGUUACCGACAGAAUAAGCACCGGCUAACUCUGUGCCAGCAGCCGACGG
rnacentral:rRNA from 1 species